rnacentral:rRNA from 1 species
CGAACGGGUGAGUAACACGUGAGCGACUGCCCCUGACUCUGGGACAACCCCGGGAAACCGGGGCUAAUACCGGAUGACAUCGCAGUGCUGCAUGGCACCGCGAUCAAAGCUCCGGCGGUCAGGGAUGGGCCCGCGGCCUAUCAGCUUGUUGGUGGGGUAACGGCCCACCAAGGCGACGACGGGUAGCUGGCGUGAGAGCGUGACCAGCCACACUGGGACUGAGACACGGCCCAGACUCCUACGGGAGGCAGCAGUGGGGAAUCUUGCGCAAUGGGCGAAAGCCUGACGCAGCGACGCCGCGUGCGGGAUGAAGGCCCUCGGGUUGUAAACCGCUUUCAGCAGGGACGAAGAUGACGGUACCUGCAGAAGAAGCCCCGGCCAACUACGUGCCAGCAGCCGCGG